rnacentral:rRNA from 1 species
AGGAUGAACGCUGGCGGCGUGCCUAACACAUGCAAGUCGAACGUCCUGUCUCGCAAGAGGCAGGGAGUGGCGGACGGGUGAGUACCACGUGGGUCAUCUACCGUGAGGUGAGGAAUACCGGCGAGAAAUCGCCGACAAGACCGCAUAGCCUCGGUGCAAGCCGAGGAAAGCUCUUUCGAGAGAGGGAGCGCCACACGAGGAGCCUGCGCCCGAUUAGCUAGCUGGUGGAGUAACGGUUCACCAGGGCGACGAUCGGUAGCUGGUCUGAGAGGACGAUCAGCCACACUGGGAUUGAGAACGGCCCAGACUCCUACGGGGGGCAGCAGUGAGGAAUUUUCGUCAAUGGGGGCAACCCUGAACGAGCAACGCCGCGUGCAGGAAGAAGGUUUCGGAUCGUAAACUGCUUUUCGUCGGGGAAGAGAACGGACGGUACCCGAGGAAUCAGCCCCGGCUAACUACGUGCCAGCAGCCGCGGUAA